rnacentral:tRNA from 1 species
UGUCCUGUGGUGUCAAUGGUCAGCACGUCAGAUUUUGGCUCUGAAGGUUCCAGUUCAACUCUGGAUGGGGCGA